ensembl:snoRNA
AGCACUUUAUGUGUGUGUUUGCUCAACUAGUAGACAAAGCCAUGAAACAUAGGUGCAAAAAUAAUCUUUUAUAACCAGAGCUCAUUGUUCUUUGUGAGACUGACACAUAUAAGAAGGAACAUG